GGAAUAUAAGAACUCGUCUCUUAACUUUUAACUAAAAAAACUAAGAACCAGUUUUUAAAACUCUUAUUUAAGAGCCAGUUUUUAUUUUUUUAGUUAAAAGUUAAGAGGCGGAUUCCUAUAUUCC
rfam:Brassica oleracea var. oleracea cultivar TO1000 chromosome C5, whole genome shotgun sequence